AAGAGUAUUUCUCCACAUUAGUGGGGAAACUGAAAUUCUUGUGCUUAAGAAUAAAGCACUCCUUUUCAAGUGAAUAGUGAGGCGAGAACAAGAUAAGUCUUCUGUCGUUAAGAUUAUCUUUUUGGAUAAAAUCAUUUGAAAUUUGAUAAUUAGAGAUAUUUUAAUCCAAAAAGUCGAUUUCUCCGUUUGCGGACGCAUGUCACAACGCUACUCGAUGGGACAUGAACGAUUUGAAAAGUUGCAAAUUUGGAUUUGAAAAUGCUCCAUUUGUUUAUCUAAGGUUGUUUAAUCAAAUGCAUUUCAAUCGGCAGAGUGAAUUAAGACCUAUUAGCAUAUAACACCAAAAAGACGAAGAGGAGGGGGGGAAGCAUCUUUAGUUAAUUUCCAUCGGUCUCCAACAGGACAGAUCUAAAACUUGAAGAUAAUAGGUCUGUUGAAUCUUCAGAUUCUUGUUCUUAUGCGGAAAUCAGAACAAGGAUUCCUGAUACGAUAUCAUGGGACUACAAUUUUGAACCUGCUGGAAGCACAUCUCUCAGUUUUACUGUGAAGUCUGCGGCUCUAAAGGAAGCCAUUGAUGACCUUGAGCGGCCAGGAUCAAGUAUUAAUCUAAUCCUACAGCCUUCACCUCACCUUUAAAGGUGAAGGCCAUGGUGACUUACAGGUAUAGUUUGACCUGAUGUUUCACUUAGCAUUCUAUUCUCAUAUUCUCCAACCCGUCUUCUGUUUUUACUUCUCUUUUUGAAGAUAGACUUUAUUUGUCAUGCAAACACCGAUCUUUUGGCUGCAUUUCAUUGUGAUCAUCAAGUCUCUC